rnacentral:rRNA from 2 species
GAGUUUGAUCGUGGCUCAGGAUGAACGCUAGCGGCAGGCUUAAUACAUGCAAGUCGUGGGGCAGCAGGACGGUAGCAAUACCGUUGCUGGCGACCGGCAAACGGGUGCGGAACACGUACACAACCUUCCUUUAAGUGGGGAAUAGCCCGGGGAAACCCGGAUUAAUACCCCGUAACAUAUAGAAGUGGCAUCACUUUUAUAUUAUAGCUCCGGCGCUUAAAGAUGGGUGUGCGGCUGAUUAGAUAGUUGGCGGGGUAACGGCCCACCAAGUCGACGAUCAGUAACUGGUGUGAGAGCACGACCAGUCACACGGGCACUGAGACACGGGCCCGACUCCUACGGGAGGCAGCAGUAAGGAAUAUUGGUCAAUGGACGAAAGUCUGAACCAGCCAUGCCGCGUGAAGGAUGACGGCCCUCUGGGUUGUAAACUUCUUUAUCUGGGACGAAAAAGAUCAUUCCUGAUCACUUGACGGUACCAGAGGAAUAAGCACCGGCUAACUCCGUGCCAGCAGCCGCGGU